AUAAAUAUCGUGUAAUCAGUGGCGUAGCUAUCAUAGGGCCAGGUGGUGCAGUGCACCAGGGCCCCGGAGCUCAGGGGGCCCUCUAACCUCAGCUUUGAAAAAAAAAA